GUUAUGGCUCAGUGAUAGAGUGCUUGCCUAGCAAGUGCUAAGGCCCUGGGUUCAAUCCUCAGCACCACA
rnacentral:tRNA from 1 species